rnacentral:rRNA from 1 species
GAUGAACGCUGGCGGCGUGCUUAACACAUGCAAGUCGAACGGUGAAAGCGGAGCUUGCUCCGCUGGAUCAGUGGCGAACGGGUGAGUAACACGUGAGCAAUCUGCCCCUGACUCUGGGAUAAGCGCUGGAAACGGCGUCUAAUACCGGAUACGAGCUGCGAAGGCAUCUUCAGCAGCUGGAAAGAACUUCGGUCAGGGAUGAGCUCGCGGCCUAUCAGCUAGUUGGUGAGGUAACGGCGCACCAAGGCGUCGACGGGUAGCCGGCCUGGGAGGGUGACCGGCCACACUGGGACUGAGACACGGCCCAGACUCCGACGGGAGGCAGCAGUGGGGAAUAUUGCACAAUGGGCGAAAGCCUGAUGCAGCAACGCCGCGUGAGGGACGACGGCCUUCGGGUUGUAAACCUCUUUUAGCAGGGAAGAAGCGAAAGUGACGGUACCUGCAGAAAAAGCGCCGGCUAACUACGUGCCAGCAGCCGCGGUAACAC